CCAGCUGUGGCGCAACUGGCUUGGGCACCAGCACCGUACGCUGGUGACCCGGGUUUGAUUCCCGCCCCGUGGG
rnacentral:tRNA from 1 species